CGGAUCGUAGCGCAGCCUGGUAGCGCGCCUCGUUCGGGACGAGGAGGUCGUGUGUUCGAGUCACACCGGUCCGACCA
rnacentral:tRNA from 1 species